rnacentral:miRNA from 1 species
GCGGACUCUUCAUUCCAGCCAAUCAGCAGCAGACCCUCCCUCCCAGACCCUCCCACCUCCUGGACAGCAUCCAUUUUGAAGCUGCAUUCUUAGUGAGCUGUCCAGGAGUUGGGAGGGUCUGGGAGGGAGAGUCUGCUGCUGAUUGGCUGGAUGAUGAGUCCG